rnacentral:rRNA from 1 species
GCUUAUGGCCACACCGCCUGGUUUCACGCCUGAUCUUGUUUGAUCUCGGAAGCUAAGAUAGGCUUGGGCCUGGUUUAGUACUUGGAUGGGAGACCGCCUCGGAAUACCAGGUGCUGUAAGCU